rnacentral:rRNA from 1 species
AGGGUUCGAUUAUGGCUCAGAACGUACGCUGGCGGCACGCCUAACACAUGCAAGUCGAACGAAGUAGCAAUACUUAGUGGCAGACGGGUGAGUAACAUGUAGGUAUCUGCCCUUUGGCCUGGAAUAACACGAGGAAACUUGUGCUAAUACCGGAUAAGUCUUUACGGAGAAAGCUUUAUGCACCAUUGGAUGAGCCUGCACUUGAUUAGUUUGUUGGUAGGGUAAUGGCCUACCAAGACUGUGAUCAAUAGCUGAUUUGAGAGAAUGAUCAGCCACAUUGGGACUGAGACACGGCCCAAACUCCUACGGGAGGCAGCAGUGGGGAAUCUUGCACAAUGGAGGAAACUCUGAUGCAGCGAUGCCGCGUGAGUGAAGAAGGCCUUUGGGUUGUAAAGCUCUUUCGUCGGGGAAGAAAAUGACUGUACCCGAAUAAGAAGGUCCGGCUAACUUCGUGCCAGCCGCCGCGGUAAUAC